rnacentral:lncRNA from 1 species
GGAUCUGCUGCCCUCUUCUUCCUUAUCCUUCAAGAGAUUAAUUGGGGUUAUUCGUGCAGCCUGUUGAAACUGUCAGGAACAUGACAUGCUGAAAUGUGGGACCAGAUGUGAACUUGGGUCAUCAAGUCCAGUGUUGGGUAAGCAUGCAUCAUAUUAAACCCUGAUGCGGAACAUACCAAAAAAUAGGGAGAAACUAAGAGAAAUGUAAGGAGGUUUCCAUUGGGGAACUUCGGAAAGGCAUUAAAUGUCUGCUCAUGGGGUUUGGCUGAAGGAGAGUUUAAAAAAAAAAUCUGAAAAAAAAAAAAACCAUAAAUCAUGAUCCAGCAUCAUCACAAGCAUUUACCUCACAGCCUUGUCUUCUCCAUCCAUUUCUUUGAUCAUUCAAAUCCUCUGCUGUUUCUCUGAGAAAGAGCAUCUUGUCCUUGAUUUUUUUGUGGAUUUUCUGUGUAUUUUCUGAGUUGUGGGUAUCCUAAAGAUUUAUUUUCAGGGUGAAAUGCUCUUAGAAGGUUUCAGGUUGUUUAAUGUGUGAAUUCAUUAAUGCAAAUAGGGUGCAGGUCUCCUUGUACAGCAAUAUUAUCUCUGUGUGUUUCAGCUAAGGACCAGCAUGACGUUCACUCCAGAGCCCUGGAAGCCACUGCUAAUGUGUAAUUCCUGCCUUGAUGGUCUUCCUGCCCUUGUCAUGGCUAAUGAUCUGCCAGGGCAAAGGCUGGGUUUGAAACUGAUUGCUAUCAACAUUUACAUCUGGGAAUGGAUCUGAAUGUCAAGGAGCAUUUAAGAAAUCGGUUAUCAGAGGAUUGCAGCAGAGGUACCUCGGUAGGCUGAAGUGGGAAGGUACUUCAGAGGUUCAGUGGUCACUGGGGAAGGGCUUGGGAGAAGGGCACCAAAAAAGAGAAAGUUUUUUGGUGGUACUGGUGAUGAGUAAAAAAAAAAGUCUGUUGUGGCUUCCACUUCUCCACAGCAGGAGAGCACAGCUUUAUAGAGACCCUUUCUUCAAGAAGUGGGAUGAAGUAUCUGUGGCCUUUAAAGAAGGAUGUCAGGAUGUGGUAACCAUUAACCAUGCAAAGGAGGCAUUCCUACACACGAGGGAAAUGCACCCUCGUCAACACAUGACUGAAUGCAGCUGCCAUGCCCUUAGGGGGGUAAUAGGACCACACGGUGCCAAUGGAAAGGACACUUUUUUGUUGUCAAGCAUCUCCAGUUGCUGCUUUCUGAUGCUCAAGGACUGGACUGUGGUGGAUGGCUGCUGGCACGUGGCCCACGCAAACUCCAUUCUCUGGUAGGACAAAGGGGCAUAAUGUAAAGUCAAGCUGAGCCAAAAAUGUUGCAAGUGACAUUUAUUUCAGAGACGUCUGCUUCAGAAAAUUUCCAGUAUUUCAACUUACCUUAAGAAUGAAAUCACCAAUGAAGAUUGCACUUCUUUCUUCUCCAUCUCUCAUGAGGCAGAGGGAGGCGGUGGAGGUGAUGAAAAACAGAAGAUACAGCUGGAACUGUGAGAAAUUCAGGUUUACAAAAUAUAAUAAUCUAAACUGUAAUUUAGCUAAAUGCAUGCAACUAGAUCUAACUGCUGAAAUGUGCACUGAGGUUGCUAGGGGCUAAUUUUGCCAGCCCUUAAUGCUGUAAAUAUACUUCCUGAAAGAUGAUGAAGGCUGUGUGAAAAUUGUUUGAAUUCUUUAGGAAUGGACAGUUCAUGCUCCCUGAAGAAAAAAGUACAAGUAUUUAAAUUUAAGUGCUUAGUACUUUGCAGUCUCAUCCACUCUGGAGGGUAUGUCAUUGAGCAGAAUGCGGUCACUUAAGUUUACAAGUCAACAAGAAUGUGUUCAAAUUCAAAACAUCAAGGGAAACCAGGUGAGUCAGAAGUCUGCAAUGUGAAAUACUUCAGUCAAAAUUUACUAAAGCUUCACUUUUGUUCUGUUUUUGCUGUCUCUUUGUUGUUGCUGUUUUCAUCUCAACUGGGGAAAUUCGCUAGAAUUAAUCAGCAUUUGUUUUGUAGGCACUAGCAAUAUAUUUAAAACAAACAAAACAAACAAAUAAACAAAAAACAACAACAAACA